ACUAAACAGGAUUCUCUUAGUAACGGCGAGUGAACAGAGAUUAGCCCAACAUCGAAGCCUCUAUGCAUUUGUGUAGACGGCAAUGUGAUGUAAUGGUGUUCGACUUCACAGGCUGGCUAACUUGAAGUCCAUAUUUGACUGUGGCUUGUGCGUAUGCACCCAGAGAUGGUGAAAGGCCCGUUCAGGUUGGUAUUCAGAUAUGACAGCUUGUGUAGAUUCGUUCGCCAAUGAGUCGGAUUGCUUGAGAGUGCAGUCCAAAUGUGGUGGUAAACUCCAUCAAAGGCUAAAUACCUGUACGAGUCCGAUAGACAACAAGUACCGUGAGGGAAAGUUGAAAAGUACUCUGAAGAGAGAGUAAAUAGUACGUGAAACUACAUGGAGGUUAAACAGAUGGAGUCAAGCUGCGU
rnacentral:rRNA from 1 species